GACGAACGCUGGCGGCGUGCUUAACACAUGCAAGUCGAGCGGUAAGGCCCUUCGGGGUACACGAGCGGCGAACGGGUGAGUAACACGUGGGUGACCUGCCUCUAGCUCUGGGAUAAGCCUGGGAAACUGGGUCUAAUACCGGAUAUGACUCCGCGGUGCAUGCUGUGGGGUGGAAAGCCUUGUGCGGCUGAAGAUGGGCCCGCGGCCUAUCAGCUUGUUGGUGGGGUGAUGGCCUACCAAGGCGA
rnacentral:rRNA from 1 species